GACGAACGCUGGCGGCAUGCCUAAUACAUGCAAGUAGAACGCUGAAGGAGGAACUUGCUUCUCUGGAUGAGUUGCGAACGGGUGAGUAACGCGUAGGUAACCUGCCUGGUAGCGGGGGAUAACUAUUGGAAACGAUAGCUAAUACCGCAUAAGAGUAGAUGUUGCAUGACAUUUGCUUAAAAGGUGCAAUUGCAUCACUACCAGAUGGACCUGCGUUGUAUUAGCUAGUUGGUGAGGUAACGGCUCACCAAGGCAACGAUACAUAGCCGACCUGAGAGGGUGAUCGGCCACACUGGGACUGAGACACGGCCCAGACUCCUACGGGAGGCAGCAGUAGGGAAUCUUCGGCAAUGGACGGAAGUCUGACCGAGCAACGCCGCGUGAGUGAAGAAGGUUUUCGGAUCGUAAAGCUCUGUUGUAAGAGAAGAACGAGUGUGAGAGUGGAAAGUUCACACUGUGACGGUAUCUACCAGAAA
rnacentral:rRNA from 1 species